rnacentral:rRNA from 1 species
UGCAUGCAGUCGAACGAGGAACCCGCCCUGGGUAACCAGGGUGGAAUUCUUAGUGGCGAACGGGUGAGUAACACGUGAGAAACCUGCCCCGGAGACCGGGAUAGCCCAGGGAAACCUGGAUUAAUACCGGAUACCCUCCAACGAUCGCAUGGUCGGUGGAGGAAAGGGUCCGCCGCUCCGGGAUGGUCUCGCGACCUAUCAGCUGGUUGGUGAGGUAAGGGCUCACCAAGGCAAUGACGGGUAGCUGGUCUGAGAGGACGAUCAGCCACACUGGGACUGAGACACGGCCCAGACUCCUACGGGAGGCAGCAGCAGGGAAUUUUGCACAAUGGGCGCAAGCCUGAUGCAGCGACGCCGCGUGGGGGAUGAAUGCCUUCGGGUUGUAAACCCCUUUCAGGAGGGACGAAGCGAAAGUGACGGUACCUCCAGAAGAAGCCCCGGCCAACUACGUGCCAGCAGCCGCGGUAAUACGUAGGGGGCGAGCGUUGUCCGGAUUUAUUGGGCGUAAAGAGCUCGUAGGCGGCUCAGCAAGUCGGCCGUGAAAGCCUGAGGCUCAACCUCAGGACGCCGGUCGAAACUGCUGUGGCUAGGGUCCGGUAGAGGAGAGUGGAAUUCCCGGUGUAGCGGUGAAAUGCGCAGAUAUCGGGAGGAACACCAGUAGCGAAGGCGGCUCUCUGGGCCGGUACCGACGCUGAGGAGCGAAAGCUAGGGGAGCAAACAGGAUUAGAUACCCUGGUAGUCCUAGCCGUAAACGUUGGGCACUAGGUGUGGCGGAUUCAU